UCCGGUUUAUCACCGGCAGUCUCCUUAGAGUGCUCUUGCGUAGCAACUAAGGACAAGGGUUGCGCUCGUUGCGGGACUUAACCCAACAUCUCACGACACGAGCUGACGACAGCCAUGCAGCACCUGUGUAUCGGUUCUCUUUCGAGCAUUCCCAAAUCUCUUCGGGAUUCCGACCAUGUCAAGGGUAGGUAAGGUUUUUCGCGUUGCAUCGAAUUAAUCCACAUCAUCCACCGCUUGUGCGGGUCCCCGUCAAUUCCUUUGAGUUUUAAUCUUGCGACCGUACUCCCCAGGCGGUCAACUUCACGCGUUAGCUUCGUUACCAAGGGAAAACCUCCCCUGACAACUAGUUGACAUCGUUUAGGGCGUGGACUAC
rnacentral:misc_RNA from 1 species